GGAUGUGAGGGUGAUCUGGCUGAGACAUCUGUUACCCCAUUGAUUGCCAGGGUUGAUUCAGCUGAUCUGGCUGGCUAGGCGGGUGUCCCCUUCCUCCCUCACCACUCCAUGUGCGUCCCUCCCAAAGCUGAAACUGCGCACUGGGUGGAAGAGGAUGGCCUUCCCCGAACAGAGACAGAAAGAGAAAUG
rnacentral:snRNA from 1 species